UGAGGCUACAGGGAAGGAGAAGGGAUCAGGAGCGGGAGCUGAGGGGAGAGAGAGGCCAGUCCGGGUCUGGCCGCUACCGCUGCUCGCCCGAGGUCUUCAGGCCGGGUUGCAGCUCUAUCCACGACUCCUGGGCACCGUUUACGAGGCUCCUCCGGGCCAGCGUGGGAGAGCCGCAGGCGGCGGCCGCCGCAUCAUGUCAGCCAAGGACGAGCGGGCCAGGGAGAUCCUGAGGGGCUUCAAACUAAAUUGGAUGAACCUUCGGGAUGCUGAGACAGGGAAGAUACUCUGGCAAGGAACAGAAGACCUGUCCAUCCCUGGAGUGGAGCAUGAAGCCCGUGUUCCCAAGAAAAUCCUCAAGUGUAAGGCAGUGUCUCGAGAAUUGAACUUCUCUUCAGCAGAGCAAAUGGAAAAAUUCCGCUUGGAACAAAAAGUUUACUUCAAAGGGCAAUGCCUAGAAGAAUGGUUCUUCGAGUUUGGCUUUGUGAUCCCUAAUUCCACAAACACCUGGCAGUCCCUGAUAGAGGCAGCACCCGAGUCCCAGAUGAUGCCAGCCAGCAUGCUAACGUGAGGGAGGGACCACUUGAUUGACCCAAGGACUGGCGAUGGGGUGGUUCCCCAAAAGAAGAGCAAGUGAGGAGAGCAGAUGCAGGACAGGCCGACCCACAGCUGUCGACUGACAUGGGCGUUGGAGGGACAGCUACCCUCUGAGUUCUGCAGGCUUCCAUGUGUAUCAGGAGGCCAGCCGUAUCCUAAGCACCUCUGUGUGCAGAGCACCCUGCUAAGGGCCAUAAGUGUACCAAGGAUUAAGACGUGCUCUCUCUUCUGAUUUCUGAACUCGAGGAGGACACACCUAGUCACUGGGAAUGUUAUCAUAGAGACAAAGUUUUUUGACGACGACCUUCUUGUAAGCACAUCCAGAGUGAGACUUUUCUACGUUUGAGAGAAGAAUGUGUGUGCAUUUCAAGAAUUUGGGGUUUUUUGGGGGAAGGAGGAAAUGGUUUACUUUUUUCCUCCACACUUUUGAUUUUUGACACUUCUACCCCUAAUUCCCUCUAUGGCAAAACCCACCUGCGGCCACCAGGGGACCAGCUCUGUGUAGGUAGCCAGAUGGCUUUUUUCUCUCAAGCUGCCAUCUUCCACCCACCAGACUAAAUUCCCAACCCCAGACCGGGGCAGAGGACGUGCCUCAACUCCUCCCAGAGUAAACCUGGGGACGAACACAUACCACGAGCUGAUGCUGUUCCUGUCACCCUCCCUACCUCUUCCUUGGGCCCGGUAGGCAACAUGUCUUCCUUUGGCCCCCCGUUUUGGAAAACUUCUAGUUCGUGACCCAUGUUUAGUUUUUUCGUACCAUUUCUAUUUCAUACAUUCUCAUACAUUUAACUUGUAAAAUAGACUGUGAUAUUAUUAUGUACUGAAUUAAAACAUGAAUUAAAACAUUCCUACAGUCUUUAGCAUGGCACUGCUUUCAUCUCUCCUUUUUCUGGAACGUGAACCUCGCUCCAUGACGAGAAGGAAGAUUUAUCAGACCGUCGGAUCACAACUAUAUUGUACUCCGGAGAUCAACUGAUAGAUCUUGCGAUUCCUGAGCGCUUCAGUUGCUGCUUUCCAAGAAUGUACAACGAACCCGAACAAGACCCAUGACCUUAACAUUUGUCUUCAGGCAGCAUAGUCAGUGGUUCUCUUCCACAACAUACAUGCACCCUUGUGUUUGUUCAUUGUCAUUGUUUUUAACUUUUUCCAUUCCUUUAUAAUGUGCAUUUGUUCAAGAGGUUUCCAGAAAGUGUAGAAGUGCUAAGCUGGUAGAGUAGGGACUAAGUGAGAGAAUAGAAGUUACAAAAUGAAGAAAAGAUCUCCUGAACUUAACUGGAGGACGAUGGGCAAGCAUUGGGAUGGGGCGGAAUGCUGGGAGGCCUUACAAACCGUGGUCAGAGGAAGCCAGUGUGGGGGAGCAGUGAUUACAUCUGCAGUGCUCUCAAGUCUGGCAUAAGAGAGAAAAAUAAAAAGCGUUCUGUUUUAGGAACUUACCUCUGAGCUACCAGGAGCCUUCACUGUCCUUUAUAAAAUACCAACAAUUAAAAGUUUUCUGGUUCCCAAAGUAGUAAGAUCUGAGCCAGAGGAGAGCAGAAUACACCAAGAGAUGGGCCUUCUUUGGUGUGCCCCUGCUCUGGUUCCUGCUCUCCUCUGUUGUUCCUGAAGCGUCUGUUUGCAUCUGUGCGGGGGGAGGAGAAGCAGUAUAUUUAAGCAUCCUCUCGCCACCUUUCCCUGAUGAUUCUGUUCCUCACGUUAGAUCUCUUGUCUUCAAAAACUGAUUUUUUUUCCUUUUUUUUCUGCUUUAUCUCCCCAAACCCCCCCCGUACA